AGUGAACGCUGGCGGUAGGCCUAACACAUGCAAGUCGAACGGCAGCACAGUAAGAGCUUGCUCUUACGGGUGGCGAGUGGCGGACGGGUGAGGAAUACAUCGGAAUCUACUUUUUCGUGGGGGAUAACGUAGGGAAACUUACGCUAAUACCGCAUACGACCUACGGGUGAAAGCAGGGGAUCUUCGGACCUUGCGCGAUUGAAUGAGCCGAUGUCGGAUUAGCUAGUUGGCGGGGUAAAGGCCCACCAAGGCGACGAUCCGUAGCUGGUCUGAGAGGAUGAUCAGCCACCCUGGAACUGAGACACGGUCCAGACUCCUACGGGAGGCAGCAGUGGGGAAUAUUGGGCAAUGGGCGCAAGCCUGAUCCAGCCAUACCGCGUGGGUGGAGAAGGCCUUCGGGUUGUAAAGCCCUUUUGUUGGGAAAGAAAAGCAGCAGGUUAAUACCCCGCUGUUCUGACGGUACCCAAAGAAUAAGCACCGGCUAACUUCGUG
rnacentral:rRNA from 1 species